rnacentral:rRNA from 1 species
UACGUGAGGCGCAAGCGUUGUCCGGAAUUAUUGGGCGUAAAGAGCUCGUAGGCGGCCUGUUACGUCUGCUGUGAAAUCCCGGGGCUUAACCCCGGGCGUGCAGUGGAUACGGGCAGGCUGGAGGCAGGCAGGGGAGAACGGAAUUCCCGGUGUAGCGGUGAAAUGCGCAGAGUAUCGGGAGGAACACCGGUGGCGAAGGCGGUUCUCUGGGCCUGUACUGACGCUGAGGAGCGAAAGCGUGGGGAGCGAACAGG